AGAGUUUGAUCCUGGCUCAGAACGAACGCUGGCGGCGUGCUUAACACAUGCAAGUCGAACGAGAAAGUUUCCUUCGGGAAAUGAGUAGAGUGGCGCACGGGUGGGUAACGCGUAGGUAAUCUACCCUUAUGAUCGGGAUAACAUUGGGAAACUGGUGCUAAUACCGGAUACCCUUCCUGGCUGUGGGGUCAGGGAGGAAAGGUGGCCUCUUCAUGAAAGCUACCGCAUAGGGAUGAGCCUGCGUACCAUUAGCUAGUAGGCGGGGUAACGGCCCACCUAGGCGACGAUGGUUAGCGGGUCUGAGAGGAUGAUCCGCCACACUGGAACUGGAACACGGACCAGACUCCUACGGGAGGCAGCAGUGAGGAAUAUUGCGCAAUGGGGGAAACCCUGACGCAGCGACGCCGCGUGAGUGAGGAAGGUUUUCGGAUCGUAAAGCUCUGUCAGAAGGGAAGAAAUGCUGCAUGGUUAAUACCCAUGCAGUUUGACGGUACCUUCAGAGGAAGCACCGGCUAACUCCGUGCCAGCAGCCGCGGUAAUACGGAGGGUGCAAGCGUUGUUCGGAAUUACUGGGCGUAAAGGGCGCGCAGGCGGCCUGAUAAGUCAGAUGUGAAAGUMCACGGCUCAACCGUGGAAGUGCAUUUGAAACUGUCUGGCUUGAGUAUCGGAGGGGAGUGUGGAAUUCCCGGUGUAGAGGUGAAAUUCGUGGAGAUCGGGAGGAACACCGGUGGCGAAGGCGACACUCUGGACGAAUACUGACGCUGAGGCGCGAAAGCGUGGGGAGCAAACAGGAUUAGAUACCCUGGUAGUCCACGCCGUAAACGAUGUGAACUAGGGAUAGGGGGUGUUGAUCCCUUCUGUCCCGCAGCUAACGCAUUAAGUUCACCGCCUGGGGAGUACGGUCGCAAGAUUAAAACUCAAAGGAAUUGACGGGGGCCCGCACAAGCGGUGGAGCAUGUKGUUUAAUUCGAUGCAACGCGAAGAACCUUACCUGKGCUUGAACUAUAGUGGGCCCGCCUGCGAGAUCAGGCUUUCCCUUCGGGGACUGCUAUAGAGGUGCUGCAUGGCUGUCGUCAGCUCGUGUCGUGAGAUGUUGGGUUAAGUCCCGCAACGAGCGCAACCCCUAUCCUUAGUUGCCAGCGAGUAAUGUCGGGAACUCUAGGGAGACUGCCUCGGAAAUCGAGGAGGAAGGUGGGGAUGACGUCAAGUCCUCAUGGCCUUUAUGUCCAGGGCUACACACGUGCUACAAUGGGCGGUACAAAGGGUCGCGACAGCGCGAGCUCGAGCCAAUCCCAAAAAACCGUCCUCAGUUCAGAUUGCAGUCUGCAACUCGACUGCAUGAAGGUGGAAUCGCUAGUAAUCCCGGAUCAGCAUGCCGGGGUGAAUACGUUCCCGGGCCUUGUACACACCGCCCGUCACAUCACGAAAGUUGGCUGUACCGGAAGCCGGUGGGCUAACCCGCAAGGGAGGCAACUGUCCAUGGUGUGGUCAGCGAUUGGGGUGAAGUCGUAACAAGGUAACC
rnacentral:rRNA from 1 species